UCCCUCCUCUGGAGUUUUGCAGCAAGCCUGGGAUGCAGAGCUUCUGCCUCUGAGCCUGUCAAACCUGACUUUGAGGAAAAAUCUCUUGUCAACUGGGAGGGCAUUGUAGAGGAGUGUGGAAAUGCACAGACGUGUGUUUGUGGAGAUGAUGGCAGAAGUCCUCAUCUGCAAGAAGGCCAAAGUGCACCUCCUGUCUGUCUUAAUAUUUCACUGGAGACCAAAUAUACAGCAACAACAGAAUCAGUAGCAACUAUAUCAAAGCAGAAACUGUGCCAUAAAACAGAAACAAAUUAAAAACAAAGAAACAAAAGAAACCAAACCAACAGAAACCACCAUCACCUCAAGAAGUACCUUUCUCAUUUCAUUUUGAGAAACAGAAGACCAACCAUUCUCUUUUCCAUUCAAAUACUGCUCUGGAUAUAACGCGAAAUUUGAAUAGAAGAACAAUUUCACCUUCCAGGAUACUUCAUUGCACUGUGCCAGAUUGUAUAGUGAUAUCUGGAGAAGACACACAGAAAACACUCAGUAUAGUACUGAUUCUGUCCAGACUAUAUUGCCUUCUCAAGGGUAGAAUCCUCUUAAAAUAUAGUGAAGAAACACCAGAGGCAUCAGAGAAACUUCUCAGUAUAUAUGGGUAAAAUCUCAUGGAAACUUCUGCCAAUUAAUCCCAAAUCCAUAAUCUGAUCUCGGGUACCUAAUAAUGAAAUUACUGACUGCAAAGGAAAUGCUAAGUCGG